GGCUCAGGAUGAACGCUAGCUACAGGCCUAACACAUGCAAGUCGAGGGGCAGCAUGUCGGUAGCUUGCUACCGGCGAUGGCGACCGGCGAAGUGGGUGAGUCACGCGUGUCCAACCUGCCCCGUGCCCGGGCACACGCCCUUGGAAAUGAGGAUUAACGCCCGAUAUGUGCCGUUUCCGCAUGGCGGCGGCAUGAAACGAGACACGGGAUGGGGAUGCGUCCGAUUAGCUUGUUGGCGGGGUAACGGCCCACCAAGGCGACGAUCGGUAGGGGUUCUGAGAGGAAGGUCCCCCACAUUGGAACUGAGACACGGUCCAAACUCCUACGGGAGGCAGCAGUGAGGAAUAUUGGUCAAUGGGCGAGAGCCUGAACCAGCCAAGUAGCGUGCAGGACGACGGCCCUAUGGGUUGUAAACUGUCUUUUAUAUGGGGAUAAAGUGAGUUACGUGUAGCUUAUUGCAGGUACCAUAUGAAUAAGGACCGGCUAAUUCCGUG
rnacentral:rRNA from 1 species